rnacentral:lncRNA from 1 species
UUAGAAGUGUCAAAUGCUUACGAAGGGAGAAGAGCCUGUUGAAUUGAGGAGACCACGGUAACUUUUCUCAGGUAUACACUACACACAUUAUAAUUUUUUAACUUCCCAAGGACAUUUAGUAAGGGUGGAAAAAUUUAAGUGUGUACAAUCCCAGGUGAGAAAAAAUUUACAUUGUUCGUGUUACAUACUCUAACUAUGUGUAUUUGUGUUCUACAAUCAAGAUAUAAUCUUUCUAUCAAGGAUAAUCACCAAUCUAUGUAAUUUAAAUGCGUUUUCCGGGAAUAUGCAUCCUUCUUCCAAAAACUGAAAGUGAAGACAAGUAAAUGCAGAGAGAAAGAACCUUUAACACCAUGAAGCUCCUUUGGUCUCCAGAAUCAUCCUUGAAAUCCUAUAUCGACACUGUUAAAUCAGUAAGAACCUUUAACAUCAUGAAUCACAUAAUUAAUAAUUUUCUUUCUUUAGCUUCUUCAUUUUGUUUUAUUCUUUCUUUAUCACUUUCUUUUCCUCUUGAUAUGCACAAAUGAUAUAUACGUAAUUUGUUUUCCAUUGUUAUAACUUUUGCCUUUUAGAUCUAUUUUCUUG